GGACCGGUAGUUCAGUUGGUUAGAAUGCCGGCCUGUCACGCCGGAGGUCGCGAG
rnacentral:tRNA from 1 species